GCAUGAAGCAUAAAAUAAAAGAAGAAAUAAAAGAAAAGACCGUCGUUGGUCCCAGAGCUUUUUUUGUAUUUUUCUUCUCUCCAAUUCAACCCAACAUACCCUCACUUAGUAUAGCCGAAGUAAUAUAAUGUUUAGCCAGGAUGAUAAAAGAGAUGCGGGAGAGACCCUGAAAUUGAAAUGAGAACCACAAGGCAAGAUGUCGACGAUGAUCAGUCAUGCGAUUUAACGUGGACAAAUAAUAUUGUAAGCUUCGUGGAUGUGGAGAGCCAGGAUAUUUAUAAGUAUAUUUUAUAUUAUAUACCUAUACCAGUUAACAAACUCCUAUACUGUACACACAAACCGUAAACGAGCAGCUAAGAGAGAGAAAAUUAAGAGAAGGAUAAUGUUGUGCCCACUGGCGCACAAUUAAGCCGCUAUUAUGCGCCAUAACCAAUGCGUAAAAACUUAUUACUCAAGAUUUAUGAAAUCCGACGGUAUUAAUGAGGGUGAUUUUUAUGGUCGAAUUCCAACGCUCUCCAAUCCCUUGAAUGACUACCGUAAAUAAAUAUUAAUUAAUAUUGGGCAUGGCGCGACCGUAAGUCAGAUAAACAAUAGCCAGAUUAGCUAUCGAUGAUGCCCUUAACAUACGGAUUUACCUUUCGAAAGGGUCUACAGCUAAGAAAAAAUACCGAGGAAUAAGAAUAAGUAACAAUGCGCAUUGACGAAGGCUCAAAAGGAGAUUAGCCGUUAAUUGUUGUUAAGGAAUUGGAUUUGGCUCUUUUGAGGAUCAUCAUUGUAAGCUUUAAUAUAUAUUGUAUAUUUGUAUUGGUUAAGCCAAUCUGAGAAACAGCAAGAAACAUGGCUUCUUUCUCAUCAUCAGGAGACUCGCAUCAGGUUAACGCCGAAUAGUUGUCGAAAAGUUAUGUUAACGCAUCGCUGGAACUUCACCGAACUAUCACAUCAAAGAGAUCCCCGUUGAGCACGAAUGAGAACAAUAAUAACACCGGCACUAAAUCUACCCGGUCACAAUAAUUCAGCUAUAAAUUCACGGCUCGAAUUCACAUGUGAAAUUCACCUAAAUAUCCAAAGUUACAAGAAAAGGAAAAAUUGGAUUUUCUGGAAAAUUUACUUGUACAUAAAUUCUAGCCUGGCUGUAUUGGUUAUAGGGGUCCAGGCGUGCGACGGGCUCUUCAAAGGAAGAAAUUAUACCUGCAGAAUCAGUGACCAAAACGAAUAAGCUUGACUUGUACAAGUUUUGAAUAAUGUAAAUCCCGGACAAUGUAUAGUAUCUAAUGCCUCAGAUCUCGGGAAGAAUAUAAUAAAAUUCUACUCUGAAA